rnacentral:tRNA from 1 species
GCGCCUGUAGCUCAAUUGGAUAGAGCUUCUGACUACGGAUCAGAAGGUUAGGGGUUCGAGCCCUCUCAGGCGCG